AACCUCCGCAAUGUGAGAAAUCGCGACGGGGGGAUCCCAAGUGCCAUUCUUAACGGGAUGGCUUUUCAUUAGUGUAAAGAGCUUUUGGAAUAAGGGCUGGGCAAGACCGGUGCCAGCCGCCGCGGUAACACCGGCAGCUCUAGUGGUAGCAGUUUUUAUUGGGCCUAAAGCGUCCGUAGCCGGUUUAAUAAGUCUCUGGUGAAAUCCUGUAGCUUAACUGUGGGAAUUGCUAGAGAUACUAUUAGACUUGAGACCGGGAGAGGUUAGAGGUACUCCCAGGGUAGAGGUGAAAUUCUGUAAUCCUGGGAGGACCGCCUGUUGCGAAGGCGUCUAACUGGAACGGUUCUGACGGUGAGGGACGAAAGUUAGGGGCGCGAACCGGGAUUAGAUACCCGGGUAGUCCUAACCGUAACGAUGCGGACUUGGUGUUGGGGUGGCUUUGAGCUGCUCCAGUGCCGAAGGGAAGCUGUUAAGUCCGCCGCCUGGGAAGUACGGUCGCAAGACUGAAACUUAAAGGAAUU
rnacentral:rRNA from 1 species